UUGCAUUCUCUGAGACAUGAAUAGAGUUGAGGAACCAGAUCUAUAAAGAUCCAGAGGCAGGGUUCCCUGGAUAGGAAACAGUUCACACAGAGGCCCUAUGCCAGGGGUGGAUAGAAUAUGCUAAGUUAUAGGAGCUGGCUCUCUCGCAAAAGAAAAGAACAGGUCUAUAUAUGUCCUGAAAUGAUCAAGUGAGUGGUACCUCUGUGCCUCACCGCAAGUGAGGGCUGAACUCACAGAGGACCCCUACAUUGGCCAGAUCAAUCCCAAUGUAGGACUUAUUUUCCCCUUAGCAGACAAAGCUAACUUAUUUAUAGGAUGCUAUUAAGAAAUUCAUUUGAAGGAUUAGAAAAUAGCUUGGUGAUAAAAGUGCUUACACUCUUCUAGAGGACCUGAGUUUGGUUCCUAGGACCUAAUAUUGGAUAGCUCAUAAUUGCCUGGGACUCUAGCUCCAAGGGAUCUGAAACCCUUUCCUAGACUCUGUGAGGACCCACACACACAUGGCACACAUAUAUACUUAUAAAUACAUAUUUUAAAAGAAUCAAUCCAAUAUGUUCUUCUGGGUUGAUGGCCUUACCCUUCACCCGUGUGUGCAAAGUUCAGUCUUGCAAGUUAUCCACCAUGCUGAUGCACCUGUUCUGAUAAUGAACCAGGGGUAGUUCCUGAGACCCUGGGAUGGGACACUUGCCUUCAAGGUGGAUUCUUGGGUGUGACACAGGGAUUAAGGUGUGUUUUUGUUGUUGUUAUUAUUUUUGUUGUUUGUUUGGUAACUGAAAUCAUAAUCAUUUUCUUGAUAUUAAGGUAAAGAAUGACUGGUGCCUGGGUGGGGAACCAACUCUAGGGCCUGUGUAUCCUUUUCCCCCACCUUGUGAAGUUCCUGGUAGCCAGAACAGUCAUCAAGCCCCAGAUAUGUGUGGAGCCAAAGAGUAGGAAUGACUUCUGCCCACGGCAUCAUGUUUAUACUUGAACAAACCCCUGGGAGCCACGGUAUAAGGAAGACUGAGAUCAGUAAGGACAAAAUCCUUAGCCACAUCCUGUGGCCUCGAGGUCUCGUCUCUUCCUUCCCCCUCUCCUCCUUUCUCCUCUCUGUGUGUACAAGAACAUGAGCACAUCCCCACCCCUCUCCAGAUAGCACCACACAUUCCUAGUUGCUGCUCCCUUUAAGCCAGCUUGUUUGUUCCCUGUCUGUCUGGUAAGUUACAUCUCCAUGUAAAUGCUAAGUUCAGAAGAUGAUAGUUAAGCUUUACAAUCC
rnacentral:lncRNA from 1 species